UACGUAGGGGGCGAGCGUUAUCCGGAUUUACUGGGCGUAAAGCGCGUGUAGGCGGUUGCGUAAGUUAGUUGUGAAACUCCCUCGGCUCAACCGAGGAACUGCAGCUAAUACUGCGUGGCUUGAGUGGCAGAGAGGAAAGUGGAAUACCCGGUGUAGUAGUGAAAUGCGUAGAUAUCGGGUGGAACACCAGUGGCGAAGGCGACUUUCUGGCUGCUAACUGACGCUGAGACGCGAAAGCUAGGGGAGCGAACGGG
rnacentral:rRNA from 1 species